UACAGAGGGUGCAAGCGUUAAUCGGAAUUACUGGGCGUAAAGCGUGCGUAGACGGUUAUUUAAGUCAGGUGUGAAAGCCCCGGGCUCAACCUGGGAAUUGCAUUUGAGACUGAAUAGCUAGGGUGCGGAAGAGGGAAGCGGAAUUUCCGGUGUAGCGGUGAAAUGCGUAGAUAUUUGGAGGAAUGCCGGUGGCGAAGGCGGCCUUCUGGGCCAUUCUUGACACUGAGACGCGAAAGCGUGGGUAGCAAACAGG
rnacentral:rRNA from 1 species